rnacentral:rRNA from 1 species
UACGUAGGGUGCGAGCGUUAAUCGGAAUUACUGGGCGUAAAGCGUGCGCAGGCGGUUUUGUAAGCCAGAUGUGAAAUCCCCGGGCUUAACCUGGGAAUGGCAUUUGGGACUGCAAGGCUUGAGUGCGGCAGAGGAGACUGGAAUUCCUGGUGUAGCAGUGAAAUGCGUAGAUAUCGAGAGGAACACCAGUGGCGAAGGCGAGUCUCUGGACGACACCUGACACUGAGGCACGAAAGCUAGGGGAGCAAACAGG